rnacentral:rRNA from 1 species
CCAGACUCCUACGGGAGGCAGCAGUGAGGAAUAUUGGUCAAUGGGCUUACGCCUGAACCAGCCAAGUCGCGUGAGGGAAGACGGCCCUACGGGUUGUAAACCUCUUUUGUCGGGGAGCAAAGCGAGUCACGUGUGACUCAUUGAGAGUACCCGAAGAAAAAGCAUCGGCUAACUCCGUGCCAGCAGCCGCGGUAAUACGGAGGAUGCGAGCGUUAUCCGGAUUUAUUGGGUUUAAAGGGUGCGUAGGCGGACUGGAAAGUCAGCGGUAAAAUCGAGAGGCUCAACCUCUUUCCGCCGUUGAAACUGUCGGUCUUGAGUGGGCGAGAAGUAUGCGGAAUGCGUGGUGUAGCGGUGAAAUGCAUAGAUAUCACGCAGAACUCCGAUUGCGAAGGCAGCAUACCGGCGCCCGACUGACGCUGAGGCACGAAAGCGUGGGUAUCGAACAGGAUUAGAUACCCCUGUA